rnacentral:piRNA from 1 species
ACGCGGGUUCGAUUCCCGCCGCCUCCACCA